UACGUAGGGGGCAAGCGUUGUCCGGAAUUAUUGGGCGUAAAGAGCUUGUAGGCGGUUUGUCGCGUCUGCUGUGAAAAUCCGGGGCUCAACCCCGGACUUGCAGUGGGUACGGGCAGACUAGAGUGUGGUAGGGGAGACUGGAAUUCCUGGUGUAGCGGUGGAAUGCGCAGAUAUCAGGAGGAACACCGAUGGCGAAGGCAGGUCUCUGGGCCACUACUGACGCUGAGAAGCGAAAUCAUGGGGAGCGAACAGG
rnacentral:rRNA from 1 species